GGUUUCCCUAACCAAUGUGGCAUAUUUUUUCCCUGAGAGUGAAGCUCAGACCCACGUAGGGGAGAGCGAAGUGGAACUUUAAUGUUCAAUGCAGCAAAUGUUCGCCAUGCGGAUAAACAAGUUGGAAUAGUUCAAUGUAGUGUAAUGCAAACACGAAUCGCAAAUAACGAUACGGGACCCAGAAGCAAUUCUGCGGAUCCCUCGGGGAGUGGUGAGUUGAUAUAAAUUAGAGGUGAAAGUCCAAGUUGUUCGAGCUCCGGCUCGGCAGCCGAUACGAGGUUCCUGUUGAGCUUGUUUGUACAUCGCGCAGAGGCGCCGUUCGGUUCUAGCAAUGAUUCCCGCCACCAUGUUCCAUGCGUGCAGAGAUCCGUUAGAGCUCGUUCAAUGUGUCCCGCCGUGAUUACGAAAAAGUCCAACAGUUGACUUAGUUGGGUGUGCGUCAAGUAAUCGCGCAGAGAUGCCGAUCGGUUCCUAGCAAUGUUUCCCGUCACAAGGUGGUAUUGGCACCUGUGCAGAGUGGCCGUUAGCAAUGUCUCCCGUAUCACGGUGGUGUACCAUCACUAGUGCAGAGUGACCGCUAGCAAUGUCUCCCGUCACAAGGUGGUAGCCCAGAAGUGCAGAGAAGCCGCUGUAGCAAAGUCUCCCGUAUCACGUUGGAGUUCUUCCACUAGUGCAGAGAGAUCGCUGAACCGUUCAAUGUGUCCCGUCGUGGUGUGCUUGUACCGAGCACGUAGGAUACACCUUGCUUUGUUGGUUUGGGAUAGGAGUGGUCGCGCAACUGCCUCCACGCCGCAGAGUGCCAGUUCGGAUUGAAGGUCAACUUUAGCCGUUCAAUGCAUCAGUCGGUGGGUGUUCAGAUGGCAUCACAACUUCCCCUAGGUGCUCAAGUUGGCUGGGUUGUAAAACAUGUACACAUGCGCAGAGUAUCGUGCGUACUAGCAAAGUCUCCCGUCACGGUGGUUACGAAUGAGUUCCAUGCAGUGCAGAGAGAUCGUUAGUGCGUGCAAUGUACCAGUCGAUGUGUCGUACCGGCAUACAACCCCGCUUAGAGGCCCGUCGCUCGAAGAGGACAAGAAAGAGUGCGCAGAGUGCCGUACCGGCAUAGCAAUGUCUCCAGACAUACGUUGGGACACCCGACGCAGUGCAGAGAGAUCCGCUAGCCGUGUGCAAUGCAUCCGACGUUGCCUGCUUGUGCAGUCUAUCGAGUGGCGCCAACGGACGCUCUGGCGUCGCAGAACAAAUCUCGGUGGUCACGGGGGACUUGCGCCUCGCGUGAUCAAGAGUGUAGUUCGUGUUCAAGCAAUUGACUCGAAUUCUGGUUGAUCCUACCAGUGAUAUACGCUCGUCUCAAAGGUUAAGCCAUGCAUGUCUAAGUACAAGCUUCCUAGAAAGUGAAACCGCAUAAGGCUCAGUAUAACAGCUAUAAUUUACAAGAUCCUCAUCCAAACAGUUACUUGGAUAACUGUGGAAAAGCCAGAGCUAAUACAUGCAUUAUGCCGGGACUGUUGGCCUCCGGGUCGGCGGAACUGGUGCACUUAUUAGUUAAACCAAUCGCCUCCGGGCGCUUUGAGUUGAAAUCUGGAUAAGGAUGCCGAUCGUACGGUCGCUUGCGACUGACGACAGAUCUUUCAAAUGUCUGCCCUAUCAACUAUUGAUGGUAGUGUAGAGGACUACCAUGGUUGCGACGGGUAACGGGGAAUCAGGGUUCGAUUCCGGAGAGGGAGCCUGAGAAAUGGCUACCACAUCCAAGGAAGGCAGCAGGCGCGUAAAUUACCCAAUCCCGGCACGGGGAGGUAGUGACGAGAAAUAACAAUAUGGACCUCUCUAACGAUGGUCCAUAAUUGGAAUGAGUUGAGCAUAAAUCCUUUUGCAAGGAUCAAGUGGAGGGCAAGUCUGGUGCCAGCAGCCGCGGUAAUUCCAGCUCCACUAGCGUAUAUUAAAGUUGUUGCGGUUAAAACGUUCGAAGUUGAUACCCCGUCCAGACUCGCGUCCGUCGCGGGCGCCCGGCCUCUCGGUUGGGACCGUCCGUGUACGCGCUCGCGGCUGCGACUCACAAUGGUGUACCUGGGCGUUCUACUCCGUGACGGGUCAGGACUUGUCGCCGCGACCUCGUCGGUCAAGGUCUUGUUCGACCCAGCUUCAUGGUGCCCGGGAACUCUCGUUUACCUUGAACAAAUUAGAGUGCUCAAAGCAGGCUAGUUCAAAGCGUCCGGUCCUCCGGGGCCGGCGUUGGCCGAGAAUAAUUUUGCAUGGAAUAAUGGAACAUGACCUCGGUCUGAGUGGUUUCGUUGGUUUGUAAUAGACCAAGAGGUAAUGAUUAACAGAAGUAGUCGGGGGCAUUGGUAUUACGGCGCGAGAGGUUGAAAUUCGUAGACCGUCGUAGGACCCACAGAAGCGUAAGCGUUUGCCAAGGAUGCUUUCAUUAAUCAAGAACGAAAGUUAGAGGAUCGAAGGCGAUUAGAUACCGCCCUAGUUCUAACCGUUAAACGAUGCCAAUUAGCAAUUGGGAGACCGCUACCUACUUCGGUGCUCUCAGUAGGGCUUCCGGGAAACCAAAAUCGGGGUUCCGGGGGAAGUAUGGUUGCAAAGUUGAAACUUAAAGGAAAUU